UAGAGUUUGAUCCUGGCUCAGGACGAACGCUGGCGGCGUGCCUAACACAUGCAAGUCGAACGGGGGUAGCAAUACCCCAGUGGCGAACGGGUGCGUAACACGUGAGGAACUUGUCCAUCGGCGGGGGAUAGCCGGCCCAACGGCCGGGUAAUACCGCGUACGUCGGCGAGACCGCAUGGUCUUGCCGGGAAAGCAGCAAUGCACCGAUGGAGAGCCUCGCGGCCUAUCAGCUAGUUGGUGAGGUAACGGCUCACCAAGGCGACGACGGGUAGCUGGUCUGAGAGGAUGAUCAGCCACAUUGGGACUGAGACACGGCCCAGACUCCUACGGGAGGCAGCAGUGGGGAAUAUUGCGCAACGGGCGAAAGCCUGACGCAGCGACGCCGCGUGUGGGAUGACGGCCUUCGGGUUGCAAACCACUGUCGCGAGGGACGAAGAUCUGACGGUACCUCGAAAGGAAGCACCGGCUAACUCUGUGCCAGCAGCCGCGGUA
rnacentral:rRNA from 1 species